CAAAAGAUAAAUUCAUUUCAUUUCACACCAAAGCUAAAUUCAUUUCAUUGCAUUUGAACCAAAGUUUUUACAUCUACAUGAGUAUCAUGUGUGAGGCAACCAUCCCCAUCACAAUCAGAAUUUGACUUUAACAUCUACCAACCAAAAAACCAAACUUAAUGUCAAACUUAAAACAUCUACCAACCAUAGCUACUCAUUACAUAAAUGACACAUGGGUUUGGCCAUCAGAGUUAUUCAUGGUCAUUUCACACAAAGAUAAAUUCAUUUCAUUUCAUUUGAACCAAAACUUUUACAUCCACAUAAAUAUUAUGUGUGAGGCAUCCACCCCAUCACAACCAGAGCUUCACUUUAAUAUCCUCAUUACCUAAAUGACACAUGAGUUGGGUCAUCAGGGUCAAUCACUCAUAGUUAGAGGGAAACAAAGAAAUGUGUACCUACCCUUUUACCUUACGAGUUACGACCAAUAAUAGCAUGUACUACUAUUAUAAGCAUAAUAAAAAAGCAUAUAAUAGAAUAAACUAAUAAAUUAAUUAAUUAAUUUAUAAUCUAUAUCUAUAUAUAAACAAUGCAAUGUAAUAUUGAGAAUCAGAAGAGAAGAGAAGAAGGCAAGGAAGAGAGAUGGAGACUAUGUGUCAUUGUUCAAAGUUUCUUCUUUCGCCGGAGAAACCCACCGCCGCCGCUUCUUCUUCUUCUCUUUCUCCGACCACCACCACCACAUACGCUCUCAUUAUUCUCAAUCAACGCCUCCCAGAUUCACUCCUCUGUUUUGGGAACACGGUACUGCUCUGCUCUUUCGUUCCUUCUUCAACUUCCUUAAGGUCUUCAAACCUGGGCCUCUAAACUUCUCAAGUUGGCUAUAAAUACAUGUUUUCCAUACAUCAUAAACUAAGAAACCUUCCUUUUCAGCACUAGUUCUAAUGAGAACAAUACUAGAGCUUAACUUGUUCCAUUCUUCUUUUCCUAAAACAAAGUAUUGCUAAACAUCAUCACACACCAGUGUACAUAAUACACCCGAAAGGAAAAUGAUCAGAGCUUUAUACAAUAUCAAAUCUUGCUACCAAUUUAAACUUUAGUAAUCACUACUAAGAUGAUGUAAAAUAUGCACAUUCUAGAAACGCUAUAUUAUUUAAUGCAAUAAGAGAAACUAGGAUUUCUAUAUAUAUGCACACAAAACUUCUCAGGCAAAAGUUGUAGACCCUCUUUAUUCUUUUACACUUACAGCAUUGCAAGUCAAUCUGAAAACAUAUAUCAAACCUUAAAGGCACAACGAGCAUCCGGUCAUAAACUCAAAUAAACCCACUUCCCAUAGACAACCCGACUAGCACGAUCAUAUUCACAACUCUGGUUUGAAUAAAUAUACACAGUCUCAGAUUAUUUGAUAUUCGAAAAGGAAACAGAAACUAGACAUAUCACAUUUAAGAGUCAUGACCAUUUGCCUAAGUAACCAUAAUCACACAUAUCUGACAAUACAUAAAGAGAGUUCCAAUUUAGUACCAUAUGUAAACAACAGGGUAUCUGAACUUUUAAACAAACAAAUUUAAAAGCAAACCCCUGUUGGGAAUCACAAAAAUCAAUUAUCCAUUGUGAAAGAAACAAUUUUUUAAUCCAGCUGUUAAAGAAAUACUUAAGACAUACGAGGUAUGUUGUUUAUGUCUUACGAACUGAAAGGAAGCAUAAGAGAGUCAUGUAAUCUUGCACUGCAGAAACAUGUGUCUUGAAAUUUAGCUAAAGGAAGAAUCAAGAUCUCACAUUUAGCAAUAUAAUCCUAUGCAUUUUAAUGUGAUGUGUUGUGACACAAAAGACUAAGCAAUAAGCUCUAAAACUAAGCAUCAAGUCAAUGAUGCAAAAUAACCUGAAAUAAAACACCCACAUCCUUAAUAAUUCACUAGCAUGAACCAUAAACUAUUUUUCCAUUUCCUUGCUGGUUAUAGUCAGAAAUAAAAUAUAAUUAAAAGGGACAACACAUACUUGCUUGUGUACAAUGAGGUCCAUGGCUCAAACAUGAUUACAGGAUGCAUUGCCCUUCAAAGGACAUAUUAGAAGUUUCAACUAAUAAUUGCCAACAAAACUAAACACCAUGAGAUAAAUUCACUAAAGGAUUCAAUGCCCAAAUGCUAUUCAUCAAGAUCGACCUCCCUAAGAAAAAAGAUUCAGAAAACAAUAUCAUGACUUCAUUAAACUACUAGAUUAUGACCAUUUUGACAAGUGCAAAUAUAACCCAUUAAAUACAUUGUUGAAGAGACCAUAUAAAGCGUAACUUAAUCUCUGACAGAUGUUGAUGUGUAACUGGAAACCGACGUCCUAGAUCACCAUUUGUCAUCCACAUUAUUCUGAGCACGCCUCUUAAAAGGUGGACCACUAUCUGUAUCAGAUUCACCCUGCACAGUAAAAUUAAAAAUCACCUUGAUAGCCUCAAUUUUUUUUUCCAGUCAUAGAUAACAACAUUAUAAGGACAAUAGAAUGUGUUGCCAUUAACACUACUUGCAGAGCUAAGUCGAAGAUAAUGUUCGAGUCACUGUUGCUGAAACUAACCUCAUCAUUCUUCUGCUGAAAAAGAGGCUCCACAUGUAUAAUUAAUUAUAACCUUGAUAGCCUCAAAUAUUUUUUUCCAGCUAUAGAUAACAUUAUAAUGACAAUAGAAUGUGUUGACAUUAACACUACUUGUAGAACUAAGUCCAAGACAAUGUUCAAGUCACGGUUGCUGAAACUAACCUCAUCUUCAUCUUCCGAAGAAAAAGAGGCUCCACAUUCAUCCUGCACAAUGGAUAAUUGAUUUUAAACAAACAAAUUUAAAAGCAAACCCCUGUUGGGAGUCACAAAAAUCAAUUGUCUAUUGUGAAAGAAACAAGUUUUUAAUCCAGCUGUUAAAGAAAUAUAAAGGAAUUUAGCUAAAGAAAGAAUCAGGACCUCAAAUUUAGUACUACUAUACAAUUUAAUGUGAUAUGUUGUGACACAACAAACUAAGCAAUAAGCUCUAAAAACUAAGCAUCAAGUCAAUGAUGGACAAUAACCUCAAAUAAAACACCCACAUCCUUAAUAAUUCAUUGACAUAAACCAUAACUAUUUUGCCAUUUCCUUGCUGGUUACAGUCAGAAAUAAAAUAUAAAUACAAGGCACAACACAUACUUGCAUGUGUACAAAGAGUCAACAUAGCCAAUGAGGUCCACGACUCAAACUGGAUUAUAGGAUGCAUUGCCCUUCAAAGGACAUAUUAGAAGUUUCAACUAAUAAUUUCCAACAAAACUGAACACCAUGACAUAAAUUCACUGAAGGAUUCAAUGCCCAAAUGCUACUCAUCAAGAUCGACCUCCCUAACAAAAAAAGUUUCAGAUAACGAUAUCAUGACUUCACUAAACUACUAGAUACCGACCAUUUUGACAAGUGCGAAUACAACCCAUUAAAUACUUUAACAUUGUUGAAGAAACCAUAUAAAGCAUAACUUAAUCUCUGACAGAUGCUGAUGUGUGACUGGAAACCGACGUCCUAGAUCACCAUUUGUCAUCCACAUUAUUCUGAGCACGCCUCUUAAAAGAUAGACCACUAUCUGUAUCAUAUUCACCCUGCCCAGUAAAAUUAAAAAUCACCUUGAUAGCCUCAAAAAUUAUUUUUUUUCCAGUCAUAGAUAACAUUAUAAGGACUAUAGACAGUGUUGCCAUUAACACUACUUGCAGAGCUAAGUCCAAGAUAAUGUUAGAGUCACGGUUGCUGAAACUAACCUCAUCAUUCUUCUGCUGAAAUAGAGGCUCCACAUUCAUCUCGCACAAUGUAUAAUUAAUUAUAACCUCGAUAGCCUCAAAUAUUUUUUCCAGCCAUAGAUAACAUUAUAAUUACAAUAGAUUGUGUUGGCAUUAACACCACUCACAGAACUAGCGCUCAAGUUAAUGUUCGAAUCGUCGUUGCUGAAACUAACAUCAUCUUCAUCUUCUGACUUAUUAAUUUGAUCCCUAACUAUUUCUACUGUAUCAUUUGAGCGACAAAAUAUGUCGUGAAUCUGCUUAGGCAUAUCUAACAAAGAUCCAAGUUGAGCCAUCGAUGAAUAUUCAUAAAUCCUGCAUCAGUCAUUGUACAUCAUCACCAAGAAGUUUGUAAUAAAAAUAAAAAUUGGAACAUAAGAUUUUAUUGAUGUUGGUAGGGAAUUAAAAAUUAACAUGGCAUCAUUUGUAAUAUUGUCACUCCACGACAUCAAAUUAACACACCUUAUAUUAGUUUUG
rnacentral:lncRNA from 1 species